rnacentral:rRNA from 1 species
AUUGAACGCUGGCGGAAUGCUUUACACAUACAAGUCGAACGGCAGCACGGGGGCAACCCUGGUGGCGAGUGGCGAACGGGUGAGUAAUGUAUCGGAACGUGCCCAGUCGUGGGGGAUAACGUAGUGAAAAUUACGCUAAUACCGCAUACGAUCUACGGAUGAAAGCGGGGGAUCGCAAGACCUCGCGCGAUUGGAGCGGCCGAUAUCAGAUUAGGUAGUUGGUGGGGUAAAGGCUCACCAAGCCAACGAUCUGUAGCUGGUCUGAGAGGACGACCAGCCACACUGGAACUGAGACACGGUCCAGACUCCUACGGGAGGCAGCAGUGGGGAAUUUUGGACAAUGGGCGAAAGCCUGAUCCAGCCAUUCCGCGUGCAGGAUGAAGGCCUUCGGGUUGUAAACUGCUUUUGUACGGAGCGAAAAGGCUCUCUCUAAUACAGGGGGCUCAUGACGGUACCGUAAGAAUAAGCACCGGCUAACUACGUGCCAGCCGCCGCAGUAA